GAUGACGGUACCGGAAGAAUAAGCACCGGCUAACUACGUGCCAGCAGCCGCGGUAAUACGUAGGGUGCGAGCGUUAAUCGGAAUUACUGGGCGUAAAGCGUGCGCAGGCGGUUUUGUAAGACAGGCGUGAAAUCCCCGAGCUCAACUUGGGAAUGGCGCUUGUGACUGCAAGGCUAGAGUAUGUCAGAGGGGGGUAGAAUUCCACGUGUAGCAGUGAAAUGCGUAGAGAUGUGGAGGAAUACCGAUGGCGAAGGCAGCCCCCUGGGACGUCACUGACGCUCAUGCACGAAAGCGUGGGGAGCAAACAGGAUUAGAUACCCUGGUAGUCCACGCCCUAAACGAUGUCAACUAGUUGUUGGGGAUUCAUUUCUUCAGUAACGUAGCUAACG
rnacentral:rRNA from 1 species